UACGUAGGGUGCAAGCGUUGUCCGGAAUUAUUGGGCGUAAAGGGCUCGUAGGCGGUUUGUCGCGUCGGGAGUGAAAUCCACUGGCUUAACUGGUGGCUUGCUUUCGAUACGGGCAGACUGGAGGUAUGCAGGGGAGAACGGAAUUCCUGGUGUAGCGGUGAAAUGCGCAGAUAUCAGGAGGAACACCGGUGGCGAAGGCGGUUCUCUGGGCCUUACCUGACGCUGAGGAGCGAAAGCGUGGGGAGCAAACGGG
rnacentral:rRNA from 1 species